AGAGUUUGAUCCUGGCUCAGAUUGAACGCUGGCGGCAGGCCUAACACAUGCAAGUCGAACGGUAGCACAGAGAGCUUGCUCUUGGGUGACGAGUGGCGGACGGGUGAGUAAUGUCUGGGAAACUGCCCGAUGGAGGGGGAUAACUACUGGAAACGGUAGCUAAUACCGCAUAACGUCGCAAGACCAAAGUGGGGGACCUUCGGGCCUCACACCAUCGGAUGUGCCCAGAUGGGAUUAGCUAGUAGGUGGGGUAAUGGCUCACCUAGGCGACGAUCCCUAGCUGGUCUGAGAGGAUGACCAGCCACACUGGAACUGAGACACGGUCCAGACUCCUACGGGAGGCAGCAGUAGGGAAUCUUCGGCAAUGGACGAAAGUCUGACCGAGCAACGCCGCGUGAGUGAAGAAGGUUUUCGGAUCGUAAAACUCUGUUGGUAGAGAAGAACGUUGGUGAGAGUGGAAAGCUCAUCAAGUGACGGUAACUACCCAGAAAGGGACGGCUAACUACGUGCCAGCAGCCGCGGUAAUACGUAGGUCCCGAGCGUUGUCCGGAUUUAUUGGGCGUAAAGCGAGCGCAGGUGGUUUAUUAAGUCUGGUGUAAAAGGCAGUGGCUCAACCAUUGUAUGCAUUGGAAACUGGUAGACUUGAGUGCAGGAGAGGAGAGUGGAAUUCCAUGUGUAGCGGUGAAAUGCGUAGAUAUAUGGAGGAACACCGGUGGCGAAAGCGGCUCUCUGGCCUGUAACUGACACUGAGGCUCGAAAGCGUGGGGAGCAAACAGGAUUAGAUACCCUGGUAGUCCACGCCGUAAACGAUGAGUGCUAGAUGUAGGGAGCUAUAAGUUCUCUGUAUCGCAGCUAACGCAAUAAGCACUCCGCCUGGGGAGUACGACCGCAAGGUUGAAACUCAAAGGAAUUGACGG
rnacentral:rRNA from 1 species